rnacentral:rRNA from 1 species
UGACAACCUGGUUGAUCCUGCCAGUAGUUAUAUGCUUGUCUCAAAGAUUAAGCCAUGCAUGUCUAAGUAUAAGCCGAAACAAGGUGAAACCGCGAAAGGCUCAUUAAAUCAGUUAUGGUUCCUUAGAUCGUACUAACAGUUACUCGGAUAACUGUGGUAAUUCUAGAGCUAAUACGUGCAGUCUGAGCCCCGACUGGAGACGGAAGGGGUGCGUUUAUUAGAUCAAGGCCAAUCGGCGGCGCGUUCACGCGUGUCGUCGCAAUGUCUGGUGACUCUGAAUAACCCUUUGGUUGAUCGCACGGUCUCGUACCGGCGACGCAUCUUUCAAAUGUCUGCCUUAUCAUACUGUCGAUGGUAGGAUCUGCGCCUACCAUGGUGAUAACGGGUAACGGGGAAUCAGGGUUCGAUUCCGGAGAGGGAGCCUGAGAAAUGGCUACCACAUCCAAGGAAGGCAGCAGGCGCGCAAAUUACCCACUCCCAGCACGGGGAGGUAGUGACGAAAAAUAACGAUACGGGACUCAUCCGAGGCCCCGUAAUCGGAAUGAGAACAGUCUAAACCUCUUAGCGAGGAUCAAUUGGAGGGCAAGUCUAGUGCCAGCAGCCGCGGUAAUUCUAGCUCCAAUAGCGUAUAUUAAAGUUGUUGCGGUUAAAAAGCUCGUAGUCGAAUCUGUGUCCCGCACCGUCGGUUCAUCGCACGCGGUGUUUACUGGCGUGUUUCGCGGGACGUCCUGCCGGUGGAUGCGGCCCGUCGCUUCUGCGGCGGGCGGUCCAACUCAACCCGUCGCGGUGCUCUUCACUGAGUGUCGAGGUGGGCCGGUACGUUUACUUUGAACAAAUUAGAGUGCUCAAAGCAGGCCAUGUUUGCCUGAAUAUUGUGUGCAUGGAAUAAUGGAAUAGGACCUCGGUUCUGUUUGUGUUGGUUUUCGGAACUUCCGAGGUAAUGAUUAAUAGGAACUGACGGGGGCAUUCGUAUUGCGACGUUAGAGGUGAAAUUCUUGGAUCGUCGCAAGACGGACAGAAGCGAAGGCAUUUGCCAAGAAUGUUUUCAUUGAUCAAGAACGAAAGUCAGAGGUUCGAAGGCGAUCAGAUACCGCCCUAGUUCUGACCAUAAACGAUGCCAACUAGCAAUCCGUCGGUGUUCAGUUGAUGGCCCGACGGGCGACUUCCGGGAAACCAAAGUCUUUGGGUUCCGGGGGAAGUAUGGUUGCAAAGCUGAAACUUAAAGGAAUUGACGGAAGGGCACCACCAGGAGUGGAGCCUGCGGCUUAAUUUGACUCAACACGGGAAACCUCACCAGGCCCGGACACCGGUAGGAUUGACAGAUUGAGAGCUCUUUCUUGAUUCGGUGGGUGGUGGUGCAUGGCCGUUCUUAGUUGGUGGAGCGAUUUGUCUGGUUAAUUCCGAUAACGAACGAGACUCUUCCCUGCUAAAUAGACGUACUAACCGACAUCACCAAGGCCGGAUGCCGCAAGGUGUCGCGGGUUCUUGCUGUCGGCGUACAAAUGAUCUUCUUAGAGGGACAGGUGGCUUUUAGCCGCACGAGAUGGAGCAAUAGCAGGUCUGUGAUGCCCUUAGAUGUCCUGGGCCGCACGCGCGCUACACUGAAGGUAUCAACGUGUGUUCUCCCUGGCCGAGAGGUCUGGGUAACCCGCUGAACCACCUUCGUGCUUGGGAUCGGGGCUUGAAAUUCUUCCCCGUGAACGAGGAAUUCCCAGUAAGUGCGAGUCAUAAGCUCGCGCUGAUUACGUCCCUGCCCUUUGUACACACCGCCCGUCGCUACUACCGAUUGACAGAGAUAGUGAGGUUUUCGGACCGGCACGCGAUCCGGCCUUUCGGGGUCGGCGCCGUCGCUGGAAAGAUGAUCGAACUGUUUUUGUUAGAGGAAGUAAAAGUCGUAACAAGGUUUCCGUA